GAGAUAGGGCUUCUCCUUCGGGAGCAGAGUGACAGGUGGUGCAUGGUUGUCGUCAGCUCGUGUCGUGAGAUGUUGGGUUAAGUCCCGCAACGAGCGCAACCCUUGAUCUUAGUUGCCAUCAUUUAGUUGGGCACUCUAAGGUGACUGCCGGUGACAAACCGGAGGAAGGUGGGGAUGACGUCAAAUCAUCAUGCCCCUUAU
rnacentral:rRNA from 1 species